GAUGUUAAACCAAUGAAAUUUGAUAGAAUUGGGUGAAUAUUGAAAAUGUUGUUGUUGUUGAACCCAGGAAAUUUGAUUGAAUUGUGUGAAUGAUGAAAAUGUUGAUGUUAAACCCAUGAAAUUUGAUUGAAUUGUGUGAAUGAUGAAAAUGUUGUUGUUAAACUCAUAAAAUUUGAUUGAAUUGUAUGAAUGAUAAAAAUGUUGUCGUUAAAGCUGUGAAAGUUGAUUGAAUUCUGU
rnacentral:lncRNA from 1 species